CUCCCGUUCUCCUCAGUCCGAGAAAACACUGAGAGAAAAAGGUAACUGUUGUAUCUAAUGAAGUCCGGGACAUCGUCGUUGACCAUGUGGUAAGAGGCUGACAGAUUGGUGUGAAUUAAUCUGAAAAGAUCAACUGUCAAUUCGAUCAUGAGAACAUUUCGCCAAGAAACUGAAUUGACAGGAGAACACAUGGUGGUGGCCGUAUGCUGACCYACCAGCAGGACUGGGCAGUGGUGGAAAUGGUGAGGGCCAGGAAUGACAUACGGCUGUCUGYAAUAAAGCAGGCCAUUGAGGAGAACGAUGUCACCUUUGCCAAUGUGUGUUCCAGCAUGAAAUACAUUAACAUGUUGCCUGUUGAAAGAAUUAACAACCGGGUAAAACAACUGUGGGUCAAGUUUGUUCAGGUACAGCACUAUAUACUGUAUUAUUGUUAUUAUUUGAUGCGCAUGCUACUUCACAAUAUAUUGAAACUAUACUGUAAAAAUAACUAACUCCCCCAAAAAUGUAGAGGAUGAUGGUGCUUGAUGCUGCUGUGAACCAUCACAAGUAUAUCUUUGUUGAUGAAGUGGGCUUCAACCUGGCCAAAACAAGGCACCUUGGGCGGAUCAUCAUCGGCCAACGGGCGACUGUCCAAGUGCCUGUAAAACCUGGGGGAAACAUCUCUAUGUGCGCAGCCUUCUCUGAAGAUGUUGUGGUAGGACAUUACUUGGACCAUACAAUGCUGCACACCUCAUUGUUUCUCAAUGAAAUUGAGCAGGCAGGCAAGGUGAAGGGGUCACCUAUGCCAUUGUGCUGGACAAUGCCAGGUUCCACCAUGCUGAAUUGGUUCAGGCAUGGUUUUGGGCCCAUCCCCGAUUCAUGACCCUAUACCAGCCCACAUACUCUCCUUUCCUCAAACCUUUUGAGUAUUUAGUUUCAGUAUGGAGGUGGAAGGUGUACGAUCGACAUCCCCAUGAGCAUGCCACCCUCCUGGCCAUGGAUGAGACAUGCAACGAUAUUAAUGCAGACCAAUGUCAGGCUUGGAUUCGCCAUACCAGAAGGUUUUUCCCACGGUGCAUGAACAAUGACAUUCACUGUGAUAUGGAUGAGAAUUUAUGGCCAAAUGCUCAACACAGUCUUGAUGCAAAUUAAUGCGUUCUAAACGUUAUGUUUUAUUUAAAAUUUAAUUUGUUUCAUCGAAUUUCUUACAUUUGAUUACAGGCAGUACACUUAUGUUGCAAUUGUGCGUGAAUGAUUGUAGAGGAUGUCUAUAUUGGAUAGAUAUGGAAAGGAUAGAUUUUCUGUCAAUUUUGUU